rnacentral:rRNA from 1 species
GACGUAGGGCGCAAGCGUUGUCCGGAUUUAUUGGGCGUAAAGAGCUCGUAGGCGGCUUGUCGCGUCGACUGUGAAAACCUGCGGCUCAACCGUAUGGUCUGCAGUCGAUACGGGCAGGCUAGAGUUCGGUAGGGGAGACUGGAAUUCCUGGUGUAGCGGUGAAAUGCGCAGAUAUCAGGAGGAACACCGGUGGCGAAGGCGGCUUUCUGGGCCUUACCUGACGCUGAGGAGCGAAAGCUGGGGGAGCAAACAGG